AGUUCUAUACUUUAAUUAAAAGACUUGAUUUGCAUUCAAUUAUUGAGACAACCACUCUAGAACUA
rnacentral:tRNA from 1 species